rnacentral:lncRNA from 1 species
UUUUCCUCGAGGGUGACGGGAACGACGGGAAGAGGUGGCGCCGACGGUGAGCUUCAGGCGGGUCGGGUCUUGGCGCUAUGGGGCACAACAAAAGAAAAGGUGCGUGUCACGACGUGCACAAUGAAGAGAGGAGAAGGAAGCACCAAAAAGUGGCGGUUAGAGUUCACCGGCUAGUUGGCGGCGACUAAAAAAGACGGCGGUGUCCGAAGCUUCUCCGGCGAGGAAUUUGGGCAGCCUGGCGGCGAAAUUGAGCGAGAGAGGAGAGGGACUGGACUGCGGGGGUGAGAGGCUUUAAGAUGAUGCGGUCGGUUGCGGAGAUGGGGGUCGUGGGCGAGAGGGACUCGGAGUGGAGGCGCGGGCGCAUGCAUGCGUGUUGUGGCCGGAAAAAACGCCUGGGCAGUUGGAGCUUGAGGAAGAAGCUGACAUGCGGGGACCGCCCAUCAGUGGCUCGGGCGCUGGGCCGCGGCCUUGCUCGGCGCGCUAGGAGGUGUGCCAGUUCGGUCCAUUUGGGCGGGCCGGCCGCUGUUUCCUUUUUUUUUCCUUUUCUUUUUCUAUUUUUGUUUUUUUGAAUACAAAUUUUGAUUCAAAGCUCCAAUUCAAUCCAAAUAAAUUGCAACAAAAUUUGUAAAAUCAUAUUUUCAUAUGAUUCAACUUUUGGGAUAAGAAUUCCCUCAAAAUAAAAUAUUUAAAAUACUUUUGCCUAUAAACUAGCCUUUAGGGCUUUUUAGCUAUUAAAAUAAUUAGUGUUUCAAAUCAAAUUUGAAAGCCAAUAAAUGGGGUAAAUUUAUAAAUGCAUUAAACCCCUUUUUUUUAUGCCUAAACCCUCAUGGGUUAAAAUGCAAUUAACCAAAAGCAAGAAAAGGGCCAGAUUCAAAUAAAGCAUUUUUGUUAAAGGGUUUUUCUGAGCUAAACUUUAGGGUUUUAAAUGUGAUUAAAUGCAAAGGUGACAUGAUGCUUAUGAAAUGCAAUGCAUAUGAAGGGUUUUGAAAAUUUGGGAUGUUACAGCCGGUACCGGUUCGGGAUGGGAUUAAACCGGUGCCUUUGGAUCUAACUUAAAAUGCUUACCGGCAGCUAGGGCUU